rnacentral:rRNA from 1 species
UCNAACUCGGUAGCUGCGUCGUAUAUGCUCUAGGAUUAAACGUUGUAUUCUAUGGNUCUCACACUUGAGGCGNGUAGUCUGUGNCCAGCCUAACACAUGCAAGUCGAACGGUAGCACAGAGNGCUUGCUCAUUGCGGUGACGAGUGGCGGACGGGUGAGUAAUGUCUGGGAAACUGCCCGAUGGAGGGGGAUAACUACUGGAAACGGUAGCUAAUACCGCAUAACGUCUUCGGACCAAAGUGGGGGACCUUCGGGCCUCACACCAUCGGAUGUGCCCAGAUGGGAUUAGCUAGUAGGUGGGGUAAUGGCUCACCUAGGCGACGAUCCCUAGCUGGUCUGAGAGGAUGACCAGCCACACUGGAACUGAGACACGGUCCAGACUCCUACGGGAGGCAGCAGUGGGGAAUAUUGCACAAUGGGCGCAAGCCUGAUGCAGCCAUGCCGCGUGUAUGAAGAAGGCCUUCGGGUUGUAAAGUACUUUCGGCGGGGCAGGAAGGCGAUGUGGUUAAUAACCGCAUCGAUUGACGUUACCCGCAGAAGAAGCACCGGCUAACUCCGUGCCAGCAGCCGCGGUAAUACGGAGGGUGCAAGCGUUAAUCGGAAUUACUUGGGGCGUAAAAGCGCACGGCAGGGCGGGCCUGUCCCAGCGUCCGCGUUUUGAAAUCCCCGGGGCUUUACCCUGGGGAACUGCUUUCGAAAGUUGGGCGGGCUAGAGUCUUGUUCNCAGGGGGGUAAUUCCGGGUUGUUCCGGGGACACUUGCCGUUUANAGUCUUGGGGAGGGCAUUCCCGGGUGGGGCGAAAGGGNGGCCCCCCUUUNCAAAAGCGCUGACCGUUCAGGUUCAAACGUUUGGGGCUACGCACCGGUUUUCCCUGGUUNCUCCGAGAAAUUGUUCUUUCUGUUUUCCCACAGCGGUUNCAGGAGCGUACACUCGUGGUAGCUCGGGGCCCNUANUGGGNCGCUGGGUUAUAUUCCGNCCACUAUAUAUGNUCGCNG